UACGUAGGUCCCGAGCGUUGUCCGGAUUUAUUGGGCGUAAAGCGAGCGCAGGCGGUUUGAUAAGUCUGAAGUUAAAGGCUGUGGCUCAACCAUAGUUCGCUUUGGAAACUGUCAAACUUGAGUGCAGAAGGGGAGAGUGGAAUUCCAUGUGUAGCGGUGAAAUGCGUAGAUAUAUGGAGGAACACCGGUGGCGAAAGCGGCUCUCUGGUCUGUAACUGACGCUGAGGCUCGAAAGCGUGGGGA
rnacentral:rRNA from 1 species